UACCAACUGCUUCUCCAACUACCUUUCCCAACCAGCCAACCCACUAAAACCAACCAACUACCCACCAACAACUCCCAACAACAACCAACUCAAACCUUGGGCUAAGCCCUUUUAUACACAGGUAGGCCCCCGCCUCCGGCUUUCCUAUGGGUCUAUAUUUUUAACCCUAUCUCUCCCCCCUGUACAGACAGGCUCUAAACAAAUGGGCAAACACCACACCUCCCAACCAAGAAUCAAUUAAAUUCCUUUCUGGACCCAUUAACCAGCAACCCAAGUAGCUUGGUGAAGGCUUUAAUGUGAGGGUGGGCACAUGGGAAGUUUGUGGAAUAAAAUGGCCCCAUACCCAGGCGAGAUACCUACUAUCUCUCAUGAGAUCCUGUAGUAGGAUCCUUUCAUGGGACCCCAUGAGAGCUCUGAUCUGGAGGCAGAACUCCGACUCUCCUUCACUGCUCUCUGGGUCAUGUGUCACUGUAUAUCUUAGCUCAGUUGAACCACUUAUUUUUACCUAUUCUAAAUGAUUGAAGUAAUUAGCUGUUUAAUUUUAGGAAAAGCAAUCUUUUGACUUCAAGAAGAUGAGUGGUGUUCUUUUGUGCAUGGGGGUGGCUUGACUGCGACAAGGAACAGGAAUUCCCCCCAAAAUCAAAAACUACUUUGAUAUAGGCAAUGAUUGCACAUCUGCAUCUUUAAAAAAGCCAGUAAUGCUAAAACAACAACAACAGCAACAGCAACAGCCAUGAGAGGUGACAGGGCUUAGCCUAGUCUGCUAGCCACUCCCUAUACUUGCCUAUAGUAUAUGCUUGCCUAUAGUAAAUUGUUUACAUUUCUCAUGAAACUCUACACAUGGUACUGUUUCCUUAUUGGUGCUGCACAAGCCCCUGUGUCCGGAAAGGGAUUUAAAAAAUGCAGCCCUACCAACUCUGAAGAUCAUCAUACAUCAGUGGUAUGUAUUCUGAUCAGAUUCAUCUUAUGACAUGGCCAUCACAAUCCACUAACUAGCCAUAUUAGUGACUGAAAGCCUGUAUAUGGUUUCUUCUUCCUCUUCCUCGUCUUCCUCUUCCUCCUCUUCCUCCUCCUCCUCCUCCUCCUCCUCCUCCUUCUUUUCUUCAUGUGGCAGGUGAAAAACUGCCCCCUUGACAGAACACCACAUGUAGCUUGGCCUUCAGAGGAUUGUUUCUGGUAAAAAAUGGAAUCUGCAGUGCUAAGACAAUAACUUACUCACUCUGCUUCUCAUCUGACCAAUGGCCUGCCCCUGUUCUCUUCUUUCAUUCAAGUGCUAUUCACACACCUGUAUGCCGCUACAGAUUAUUCAUUGACAAAUGUAGGCAUUCAGUCCCUCACUCAGGAAUGAAUGCUUUGGACUCCUGAAGUGAUACUCCUUGUCUUUUCAAACGAAGACAAAAGGAGGGACUAAAUAAAUUGAAAAUUAAUGCCUGCAGCAUUCCUUGCUUCUCUUUCUUAAAGAGGUUUAGGAUCCCCUUAACAAGCAUUAGACAAGUUUUCAUAUUAAAGAGUAAGGAACUGUAAAGUACCACUCAUGCAUACUCGCAAUCCAUAGGGAAGAGUGACUAUCAUGUUGGAGUACUCCUGUUCAGUGUUUCAUUCUUCUUCCAGGAUGCUCCAUUCCAUCCUCCCCACUUUCUUCCCAUUGUUUUCUUUCCAACAGACAGGAAGUGUACACUGAAGAUUUUUCAUCCAGAUUGAGUUUAUUCCUCCUCCCUACAGAGCUUUUUGUAUUUCUGUAUGUAUACCUUGGGGUUCUUGUCAGCCUGCUACCUCCCUCUUCUGUGCAAGUGGUGCCAUUUUGGCUACAUAAGGAGUGGCACUCAGAAAUUUGAGAUUGCUAGUCUAAAUAUUGAGCUGUAAAAUAAGAUUCACUGCUGCCUACCCCCUUCUUUCUAUGUAUAUAUGAUAGCACUUGGGCUCUGAUCCACCUGUAGUCAAUGCAUAAGCAAGCUGAUAAGGCAUGCCUAGUAGAAUGUGAGUGACUGCACUUCCUCUUUUAAGCAAUGCAUUGCCAACAGAAUAUAUCAGGGUUGGGAAAACUGUGGUCCUUCAGAUGCUGGACUACAACUCCCAAAAUCUCUUACCUACCCUUGUUCAUGCUGAUUGUUUUUUUUUUUUUAAAUAAUUUUUAUUAAAGUUUUAAACAACAAAAGAAAAAGAACAACACACACAAAAGACAAUACAAAACUCAACCAUAAGAAACAAAAAGCAUAACAAUUAAAAACAAACUCUCUUUUCCAUUUCCAAUUUUAAAUUACUUAUUUUCUGGACUUCCUCAUACCUCCUUUUUUUGUAUUCCAAUCCACAUUAUUUGUCCAGCAGUUUCUUUUCCACUUUUUUAAUCCCAAUCUUUAAUUUAAUAAAAUGUUAAAAUAUAUAACUUCAACUUUUUUUUAAACCUAAUCCUUGAUCUUAAUAUCAUAUAACAUUAAAAUUUUCCCUUUUAAUAUCAAAUUUCCAUUUCUUUAAACAUCUUUGAUCUUGAUCUUUAAUCUUAAUCUGUCAUUAAUUUUAACCUGUGCAGCUGGAAACCACUUACUUUCAGUCCAACAUCCCUUUAACAUUCCUUAAUUUUGCAAUUUUCUGAAGAUAGUCUUUGAAUUUCUUCCAGUCUUCCUCCAUCGACUCUUCUCCCUGGUCACGGAUUCUACCAGUCAUUUCCGCCAAUUCCAUAUAGUCCAUAAGUUUCAUCUGCCAUUCCUCCAGUGUGGGAAGUUCUUGUGUCUUCCAAUACUUUGCGAUGAGUAUUCUUGCUGCUGUUGUUGCAUACAUAAAGAAAGUUCUAUCCUUUUUAACACCAUUUGGCCGGCUAUGCCCAGGAGAAAGGCCUCUGGUUUCUUAGGGAAGGUAUACUUAAAUACCUUUUUUAAUUCAUUAUAUAUCAUUUCCCAGAAAGCCUUAAUCUUUGGGCACGUCCACCAAAGGUGAAAAAAUGUACCUUCAGUUUCUUUACAUUUCCACCUUGUUCAUGCUGAUUGGGGCUGAUGGGAGUUGGUGUCCAAUCACCUCUGGGGGUUACAGGAGCUUUAUCUACACUUGGCAGUGUAUUCUAUGCCUCUUAUUUACACCAGUGGUUCUGAUCCAGCUAGUGACAUGUGUGCCUAAAUCUGGUUAUGCGCAUGAGUCUUCCUUAGCUGAAUUGUGCUGUUUGCCUGUAUCCUUUAGCAGAGAAAGAGAAUUAAUCAUUUUUGCAUGUUCUGGUUUGCGCUACCUCAUAAAAGAGUAAACAAUUACAGCGAUGCCAAUUAUGUGACUAGCAGAAAACGAGCUCUUGGAUUAUGAGUAUGAAUCAUUUAGUUUCAAAUCUUGCUUCUUCUCUAGAGAUUGUAUAUCUUUUACGUUUUACAGAAAACUGAGAUGUUUUCCCAAUUAUAAUGUGUUUAUUGCAUUAAUUGGCCCAACUCUGCUAUGGUUCUAGAAAACAGUCCAUUUUUGUGUUGCGAAUGAUUUUCCAAACUCUCAGUUUUUUAAAAAAAUACCCAUUUAAUAUAUUGUCAUCAAAUGAAAGACACCUCAGAUUGCCUGUUAGCUAAGAUCAAUUUAAAACAUUUCGUAGCUGGGGUAAAAUAUGUUUUUGCUUCUGGUGGAAGAUAAGCAGCUCCAAGUGCACCAGCAGAGACUCAAUCGCAUGAUACUUUUCUCUGCUUUAAAUCAGGGUUGCUUCACCAAAAGACAACUCAAUUGGCCAUUCAUUCGGUAUGUUACCUACCCCCCAACAAACAAACAUAUUGUUCAACAGAAAAUCCAGAGGGCUGUAGACAAAAGGUCUAUGCCAAGGAUGGGCCACCAGAUGUCAUUGGACUACAAUUCUUAUUCACUCUGAAUUGGAGUCCAACAACGCAUAGGUUGCCACAUAUUCCCCACCAGUUGUCUGCAUUAACCUAGAACUGGAGGCUUUCAUAUGUAGGGCCAACUUGAAGGGUGCAUGGCCAAUAGUGACCAGAAUGAGUUGGGUCUUUGUUAUAUAAUAACAAAGACAUUUGGGGUAAACAGACAAAAAGGUAAACAUAUACAUUGAAUGUACUAUUUCAGGUUGCAAAUUGAAUUUUCACGAGGCCUUUAAAAAUAAUUACGUAAAUCAAAAACUGAUCUGGAAAUAAUGGAGAACUAUACUUAACAUUAGAAAAAUGAUAAACUGAAAUUGACAGGUUUGCCAGUGUGGCAGUCCUGUGGCUGCCACAUUUCAGGGUUUACCCUGAAGUGUUAGGUCUUCAGGGGAAGGAAUUUGCUCUCAAACCAGGAAUCUGAAACACAGAGGCAACCUCUUUUACCAUAGGAUCUUUUGCCACAGCCUUCUCCUUCACUCUAAAGUUUAAACAAUUCAUUUUCCCCACGUUCCCUUAUCUCAGUACCUGAAACAAGCUAAUUUCAAGCGAUAGGUUGUGAAGCUGGUUUGUUUCAACUAACCAUUGUUAAGAUUAACCAUGGUUUAGGGUAUGGUUGUAACACUAAAGUGUGAUUAAUUGAAAAGUGAAGUGAAAGCUUCCAGUUUCCUCCCUGUGGCUGCACUGGAGGGGGAGAGGUAAGGAAAGAGUGCAGGAGUCUAAGACUAUUGCUUAUCAUUAUGUCUAAAUCAUUCUAGAAUGUGCCAAUUCAUUUCCAAUUUGUGCUCAUUUAGCUGCCACAGUCACUAUGGCUGCCACAUCUAGAGGUUCUGAUUCUUUCCAUUCAUUUUAAAUCCCAACCUCUCAUGGGAAUCUGGGAGUCUAUAUGACUAAGAUACUGACCAUUUCCCUUUCCCUCCUUUCCUUCGGUUUUCUGUCUGUAUGAGGUUCUUUUCUCUUUGUUUGGCAGUAGUGUUUAUUGUCUUUCAGUUAAACCCUACAUGGAGCCAAAUUAGAAGCUGCAUUUGUAACUUGUAAAUCUCUCUUCCCUCCCUUUCCCUGGAAUCUUGCCACACACAUUUAUCCACACACAAACCUUUCUCUCCCUCUAUCCCAAAAGGAUUUGUGAAAGGCUUCCUAAUCAAAAUCACUCUGUGUAAAUACUUAUUAGUUAUGGGCUUUGCGAUGAAGUCCUCAGAGGCCCAUUGUCUUUUUAGCCAGAGACAUUUUUGCCUGCUCAUCUGUUUUAUUGGCCUGCAGAGCUACCCUCAUGCCAAAACUGUUAUUGCUGCAUGAAUUAAUGAGUACAAGUUAUUGCUCAAACUUUGCAAAACUCCAUAAUUGCAAACACUAGAGACAUAAUUGCAGCAUCAUUUUUUUUAACGUGGGUGUUCCUCCUACCCCACUGAAAUCUCUCAUUCAUGACUAAGUAUCUCAGAUUCAUUUCAUAGAAUCACAACCCUAAUGGUGAGGGUAACAGAAGCAGCUGGGAGUAUACAUGCGUGUUGAUGGCAAAAUUUAGCCCAGGUUCACUCUUCACUUUGGGGUCCAUUUCAACAAAACAGCCAACAGAGAUUGUGUAUACAUGCUGCUCCGUUUCAUGGUUUUAGAAGAGGGAUGAGGAACCAGUGGCAUAAAAACAUAAGAAGACUGCUGGAUGAGCCCAGCAUCCUGCUCCCACAGUGGCCAACCAGAUACUUGUGGAAAACCAGCGAGCAGAACCGGAACACAAUAGUACUCUCUUCUCCUGUGGUUUCCAGCAAGUGGUAUUCAGAAGCAUCCUGACUCUGGCCAUGACCUAGACAUUGUUAGACCAAGCCCCUUCAUCCAAAGCCAAAAUGGCCAAGGGUAAUUGGUCAUGGAUGCCGAGAGUUGCAACCCAACCACAUCUGGAGGCCACAAACUUUCCAAUACUGUUUUAGAACAUGGGUUUUAAGAUCUCUUUCUUGUUUUCUUUGACAGAGAUACAAGUACCUAGCAAAGACAAGAGACUUUGAUCUGAAACUAUGGAGAGACGCCUGAUGUUUCCUAGUGUUGUUGCGAAAGUGUUUUUCAGCAACACCAAAGAACAGAACACUCUGUACUAGAACACAAUCCAAUCGAAGCUAAGCCCAAUAAAUCCUUCUGUUUUCAAAGGAAGAGUUAAGUACAGGCACAAGUCAAUCUUGCAGUGAAAUCGAAGGGAAUUAAAAGUGCUCCAGUUUAGCCAAAUCAUAUAAACAUGUGGCAAUUAAAAAUGAACCUGCAGGAACCUCCCCCUCCCUUCCAAAAGGACAAAAGACUGGAAUCUUAAAGACCGGCCUUCAACUGUUCCAAAUCUUCCUUGCCUACCACUUGAAAAGGAGGAAAAGAAACAGUUGAAGGAACUGAGAUGAGUUAAUUACAAACAAAGGUAAACUUUGGGGAGGAACUUGGUUUACCUUCUGCUUGGCUCAGGGUAUCCAAACUUGGGAAGCUUGUUAUUAUACAAAAGGUGAAGGAAACACAAGAGACAGCAGUAUAUCACACUUCUAGUUAUGGAAGAAGAAAAAUUCAAUAUCCUGUCAUAGCAUUCUUUUAUUUAAGCCACUCCCAACUGUUACUAGAUUUGCUUGUGUGUCUAGACACAUACUGUAAUAUAUCUGAAUCCAUAUCUUACACACAUGUUCAUGGAAGUAUCACUUUGGGGGUCUUGACUGGAGACAUUUGUGUACCGUGGACAUGGUUGCAAUGGACACGUUUACCUUUGAAAACACCAAUAUCAUCUUGUUUCUUUUGAGUUAAAUUAGGAAUGACCAAUAAAUAACAAUAUUACUUUGCUAGCUUAGAGGAAUAAGCAAGGACAACACUGCAUGCAUGUAGUAGAAUGAUAAAACAUGCCAGGGAAUAAUUCAUUUUAUUUUGUGAUGUUCAAAUUAUGGCCUGGCAAAGAAUUGGUUAAUGCCUCAUAUCUUGGAUUUCUCAGCUUCCUUAAUAUUUCAGGUUCAUUUAUGAGCUCUGUUAAUAUACUGAAGGAAAUUAACCCGCAGCCAGUAGUAUGCUGUCAAUAAAAUUUAAGGCUAGCAUUUACCCAAACUCACAGGGCC